UUUGUGGUUUGUGUGUGCUAUGAAUUUGCAGAGCUAAUGCAGAUAGAAGCCAGAAGAUUGGGAAUUAUUGAUCAAUGGUUCUUUAAGCUCUUCCUUCUCAUCACUGAUAUUGGAUCCGUGCAGCCUGUGUCAGGCGCUGAAUCUGUUCCAGGAAGGCAAAGUCAGUGGAAAGGAUACAAAGACUAAUGAGACUAAGGCUGCUGUGCUGGCUAUGGAUGAAUCAGUAUUAGAUGUAGAUCAGGUGGAAAAUCUCAUUAAGUUUUGUCCUACCAAAGAAGAGAUGGAACUUUUGAAGGGAUACACUGGUGACAAAGAGAAUUUGGAAAAAUGCGAACAAGUGUGUACUAAUUUGUUAUAGCCAUAUCAUUAUUUAUGAUAGCUAAUUUAGUGUAAAUCUAAGUACUCAGAAUUAUAUAGGAUACUGUUUGUAGGCUCCAUAACUAGGAUCCGUCUACCAGCAUUUGAUUUCUUAGACCCUUUACUUACUUUAAAAUCUGAUAGGGAGUUGGGAGGAAUGGUGGAGAAAUGAAGUAGAGAAGAGAGGAAACUUAUUUGAAGGGAAAAAAAAGAAAAAACAAUUGUUGGCAUGGAAAUUGGAAAUUGCAAAAUUCUGGGUAUAAAUAAUUAGCUGUAAAGGUUAAAGAACUGAAUGCGGCAAGGCUUUGAUUUUGGAAGUGAAUCUAACAUAUGAUAAUGAUCAAUAAAAUUGUGCAAGAAGUCUGUUUCCUUGGAAGGCAGCUCAUAUGAAUUCA